AGGGUUUGAAAAAAUUUUUUUUGCCCGGGGAAGGAAAAGGACAAGAGCAGGUAAAGAAAACCCCCGGUAAACUCCGUGCCACCAGCCGCGGUAAUACGAGGGGGGUUAGCGUUGUUGGAAUUACUGGGCGUAAAGCGCACGUAGGCGGAUUAGAAAGUUAGAGGUGAAAUCCCGCGGGUUCAACCCCGGAACUGCCUUUAAAACUACUAGUCUAGAGUUCGAGAGAGGUGAGUGGAAUUCCGAGUGUAGAGGUGAAAUUCGUAGAUAUUCGGAGGAACACCAGUGGCGAAGGCGGCUCACUGGCUCGAUACUGACGCUGAGGUGCGAAAGUGUGGGGAGCAAACAGGAUUAGAUACCCUGGUAGUCCACACCGUAAACGAUGAAUGCCAGUCGUCGGAUAGUAUACUAUUCGGUGACACACCUAACGGAUUAAGCAUUCCGCCUGGGGAGUACGGUCGCAAGAUUAAAACUCAAAGGAAUUGACGGGGGCCCGCACAAGCGGUGGAGCAUGUGGUUUAAUUCGAAGCAACGCGCAGAACCUUACCAACCCUUGACAUCCUGUGCUACAUUCAGAGAUGAAUGGUUCCCUUCGGGGACGCAGUGACAGGUGCUGCAUGGCUGUCGUCAGCUCGUGCCGUGAGAUGUUCGGUUAAGUCCGGCAACGAGCGCAACCCACAUCCCUAGUUGCCAGCAGUUCGGCUGGGCACUCUAUGGAAACUGCCCGUGAUAAGCGGGAGGAAGGUGUGGAUGACGUCAAGUCCUCAUGGCCCUUACGGGUUGGGCUACACACGUGCUACAAUGGCAUCUACAGUGGGUUAAUCCCCAAAAGAUGUCUCAGUUCGGAUUGUCGUCUGCAACUCGACGGCAUGAAGUCGGAAUCGCUAGUAAUCGCGUAACAGCAUGACGCGGUGAAUACGUUCCCGGGCCUUGUAGA
rnacentral:rRNA from 1 species